rnacentral:rRNA from 1 species
GUAGGGAAUCUUCCACAAUGGACGAAAGUCUGAUGGAGCAACGCCGCGUGAGUGAAGAAGGUCUUCGGAUCGUAAAACUCUGUUGUUAGAGAAGAACGUGCGUGAUAGUAACUGAUCAUGUAAUGACGGUAUCUAACCAGAAAGCCACGGCUAACUACGUGCCAGCAGCCGCGGUAAUACGUAGGUGGCAAGCGUUGUCCGGAUUUAUUGGGCGUAAAGGGAACGCAGGCGGUUUUUUAAGUCUGAUGUGAAAGCCUUCGGCUUAACCGAAGAAUAGCAUUGGAAACUGGAAGACUUGAGUGCAGAAGAGGAGAGUGGAAUUCCAUGUGUAGCGGUGAAAUGCGUAGAUAUAUGGAGGAACACCAGUGGCGAAAGCGGCUCUCUGGUCUGUAACUGACGCUGAGGUUCGAAAGCGUGGGUAGCAAACAGGAUUAGAAACCCGAGUAGUCC